rnacentral:rRNA from 1 species
CGUGCAGGUGGUUUGGUAAGUUGGGUAUGAAAUCUUCUGGCUUAACUAGGAGAGGUUGCUCAAAACUGCCAGACUAGAGGACGAUAGAGGAAGGUGGAAUUCCCGGUGUAGUAGUGAAAUGCGUAGAUAUCGGGAGGAACACCAGUGGCGAAGGCGGCCUUCUGGGUCGUUCCUGACACUAAGACGCGAAAGCAUGGGUAGCAAACAGGAUUAGAUACCCUGGUAGUCC